rnacentral:ribozyme from 1 species
AAGGGAACAAAAGCAACAGCAGCUCUUCGAAGAAUAAUAUUUUGUCGUCAAAGUCGUUAUCAUCAUCAUCAACUAAAAAGAAAGACAAAACAAAAAGC